rnacentral:rRNA from 1 species
GAUGAACGCUGGCGGCGUGCUUAACACAUGCAAGUCGAGCGAAGCGAUUUUAAGGAAGCCUUCGGGUGGAAUUAAAAUUGACUUAGCGGCGGACGGGUGAGUAACGCGUGGGUAACCUGCCUCAUACAGGGGGAUAACAGUUAGAAAUGACUGCUAAUACCGCAUAAGCGCACAGUGCUGCAUAGCACAGUGUGAAAAACUCCGGUGGUAUGAGAUGGACCCGCGUCUGAUUAGGUAGUUGGUGAGGUAACGGCCCACCAAGCCGACGAUCAGUAGCCGACCUGAGAGGGUGACCGGCCACAUUGGGACUGAGACACGGCCCAAACUCCUACGGGAGGCAGCAGUGGGGAAUAUUGGACAAUGGGGGAAACCCUGAUCCAGCGACGCCGCGUGACUGAAGAAGUAUUUCGGUAUGUAAAGGUCUAUCAGCAGGGAAGAAAAUGACGGUACCUGACUAAGAAGCCCCGGCUAACUACGUGCCAGCAGCCGCCGUAA